CAAGGCGACGACGGGUAGCCGGCCUGAGAGGGUGUCCGGCCACACUGGGACUGAGAUACGGCCCAGACUCCUACGGGAGGCAGCAGUGGGGAAUAUUGCACAAUGGGCGCAAGCCUGAUGCAGCGACGCCGCGUGGGGGAUGACGGCCUUCGGGUUGUAAACCUCUUUCACCAUCGGCGAAGCCUUCAGCUUUUGUUGGGGGUGACGGUAGGUGGAGAAGAAGCACCGGCCAACUACGUGCCAGCAGCCGCGGUAAUACGUAGGGUGCGAGCGUUGUCCGGAAUUACUGGGCGUAAAGAGCUCGUAGGUGGUUUGUCGCGUUGUUCGUGAAAUUCCCUGGCUUAACUGGGGGCGUGCGGGCGAUACGGGCAGACUGGAGUACUGCAGGGGAGACUGGAAUUCCUGGUGUAGCGGUGGAAUGCGCAGAUAUCAGGAGGAACACCGGUGGCGAAGGCGGGUCUCUGGGCAGUAACUGACGCUGAGGAGCGAAAGCGUGGGGAGCGAACAGGAUUAGAUACCCUGGUAGUCCACGCCGUAAACGGUGGGUACUAGGUGUGGGUUUCCUUCCUUGGGAUCCGUGCCGUAGCUAACGCAUUAAGUACCCCGCCUGGGGAGUACGGCCGCAAGGCUAAAACUCAAAGGAAUGACGA
rnacentral:rRNA from 1 species